GACGAACGCUGGCGGCGUGCUUAACACAUGCAAGUCGAACGGUGAAGCGCCUUCCUUUUUGGUGGGUUUGGAUGAGUGGCCAACGGGUUAGUAACACGUUAGUAACCUUCUCCCUUCUUCUUGAUAACCGCAUAAAGUUGUUGCUAAUACGUGAUAUUCUGGGUCUGUUGCUUCAUAGGUGUGGGACAGUUUUUCUUUCAGUUGUAGAUGGGCUCGCGGACUAUCAGCUUGUUGGUGGGGUGACGGCCUACCAAGGCGGUGAAGGGUAGCCGGCCUGAGAGGGUGGACCACCACGCAGGGGAGGCACGGUGGCGCAGACUACGGGGGGAGGCAGCAGGGGGGAAUAUUGAACAAUGGGAGGACGGCUGAUGCAGCGACGCGGCGUGAGUGAUGGAGGCCGUCGGGUUGUGAACUGCUUUCGGGAGUGAAGCAGGCCUGCAUCGUCUGUGGGUGGGUUGACGGUAGCUGGAUAAGAAGCGACGGCUAACUACGUG
rnacentral:rRNA from 1 species